AUUGAACGCUGGCGGCAUGCCUAACACAUGCAAGUCGAACGGCAGCACAGCAGUAGCAAUACUGUGGGUGGCGAGUGGCGGACGGGUGAGGAAUACGUCGGAAUCUGCCCAGUCGUGGGGGAUAACUAGCCGAAAGGUUAGCUAAUACCGCAUACGACCGAGAGGUGAAAGCGGGGGACCGCAAGGCCUCGCGCGAUUGGAUGAGCCGACGUCGGAUUAGCUAGUUGGCGGGGUAAAGGCCCACCAAGGCGACGAUCCGUAGCUGGUCUGAGAGGACGAUCAGCCACACUGGAACUGAGACACGGUCCAGACUCCUACGGGAGGCAGCAGUGGGGAAUAUUGCGCAAUGGGCGAAAGCCUGACGCAGCCAACCCGCGUGUGUGAUGAAGGCCUUCGGGUCGUAAAGCACUGUCGUGAGGGAAGAAUAAAUGACGGUACCUCACAAGAAAGCACCGGCUAACCCUGUAGCCAGCAGCCGCGGUAAU
rnacentral:rRNA from 1 species